rnacentral:rRNA from 1 species
UACGGGGGGGGCAAGCGUUGUUCGGAAUUACUGGGCGUAAAGGGCUCGUAGGCGGCCAACUAAGUCAGACGUGAAAUCCCUCGGCUUAACCGGGGAACUGCGUCUGAUACUGGAUGGCUUGAGAUUGGGAGAGGGAUGCGGAAUUCCAGGUGUAGCGGUGAAAUGCGUAGAUAUCUGGAGGAACACCGGUGGCGAAGGCGGCAUCCUGGACCAACACUGACGCUGAGUGAGCGAAAGCCAGGGGAGCAAAGCGGG